AUUAGCUGGCAAUGCGCCCCUCCCUUUUCGGCCGCCAGAAGAUUUUACUCGUCAGUGGUAUAGGGUACUGCCAGUAAAUGGGUUAACAAACCUAUCUGCCAAUGGCUCUUGUUAAUUCAUCAGCACAGUAAUGACCCCUACUUUAGUAUUUACCCUGUCCAACGCCAGACGAUUUUUAAUACUCAGUCAGUGGUAGGGUACUGUCAAUAAAUGGGUCACAAGGAUAACAAUAAUUAGCCUGCAUGGCAGGCGGUAUUUCCCAGGCUUGCCCAAUUUUAGGAACCACCUGCCAUGCACGCUAAACAAUAAUAGGAUGUUUCUGAAGGACUCGUUCAACACCCUGUAGUUUGUCUUUUGCUGUCAAAGGCAGCAUUACUGCCCUGUGGGUAACCUAGU